rnacentral:lncRNA from 1 species
AGAAGAAGUGCUUGCCAGCCAAAUGUGCAUGAUCAGAUGCCAAGGAGAGUCAACAGUAAAUGUGAUUCUUCAAGGGAUCCAGCUAUGGAAUUUGAAAUGUGACAAGAGUUUUCCUCUGUUAAAGAAGGGGAAAGAGUGCCCACCCAGGCUUUCCAAGCACACUGUGAAGGAUAUGAAGUAUUGAGACAUAAUGAUCUCCUCUCAAAUUAGAGGUUGCAAUCUAUUUGAGAAGGCAAAGGAACACAAGUGAAGAAAAAUUCUAAGUUGGGUGCUGUGAGCUGUAACUCCAAAAUUUCCCAGUGGUAGAGAAUCUAAAAAAGAGCAAGGACAGAAAAAGGAAGAGCAGCAAGGAUGCUACUGCACCAACCCAGGUCUAAAAGAAUGGGACUUGAUCCUCUUGACACCAUUUGGAAGAUCAUGUUUAGAAGAACUACAAAAACUAUGCUGGGCUUGUACAUGUCUCAGGACAUAAAUAUGGUUUUCAUAAAGCCCAGAUUGUAUUCCAAAAUAGCCCAUAAGUCCAACAACAGGUGUUAUAUAUUGUACCCUUUUUAAGCACUUUACUUUGAAGAGGGAUACAAAUGAGAGCUUCUGAUGAGAUGACUAGGGAUCUACUGGGCCAGCAUGUCUUGAAGAUGGAGCUUGCUCAUGUGAAUGGCUCAGCAGAUGCAGUGAACUCACAUCCCACUGGAGGCCAUCGCAUGGAGGGGGGGUAGCUGUGCCAAUGUUCAUGUGAAGAGGACACUGGGAAUUGAAGGAGGGAUCGAACUCGGGAACUUGUGCUUGCGAGGCAGGCGGCGGAAUCGCUGAGCUAAAUCCCUGGCCCCAUGCAAGUAAUUUUUGCACAUAUCUCAGUUCUUCAGGAACCAGAGAAAGCUUUGUGGUGUUCUUCAAACCAGAAAUUGCUCUACUCCAAAUCCAGAGAAGUCUUUUGGAAUCCCCUUUGCUACAACAACCUUGGAGGGAAGAAAACACGGUUUCUUAGAUUGUCUAUCCAAGGAACACACACCAGCCUUUUCACAGAAAACUGGCAGCUAAUCAAAAUAUACUGUUAGAGGUACAAGUGGUUCAAAAAGACUGAAGACCUAAAAGUUUAAACUUUUUUCUGACUUCCCUGACAAGGGCACUUUGCAGCCCAAGAUCUUGCUUCUCAGCACCUAGCACAGUUUGCCCCCAUGUUUUAGAUUGGUCUUUCUCCUCUAGAAGACUCCAGGAGGGCUGGUGCCCUGACAUAGGCUGAGUGCUCAGAAUUUGUUCAGUGAAUCAACAAAUGUUGAGCAGUUGCUGACAUGGAGGCUGAGAAUUCUCUACAAUUAGCAGAUCAGAUUUGAUAAAAGGAAAUGACCAGUCUGAUCUAGAUUCUUGUAGGUUGUAGACUACAUGUCUACAGUGCAUGCAUGGCAUUAGUGCAUGAAUGAUUUUACUGCAUGUGUGACACUGUAUCACAGAAUGCCAG